rnacentral:lncRNA from 1 species
AGAGCUGCCGCCAAUUAAGCAAUUAGUAGCUAAUUUAAUUUCCUCAUCAGGGUCGUGGCAGAAGGUUUCCUGAUUGAGAGUGAGGAACACCAGGGCAGGUGCAGGCACGCUCAUGUGCCUGUUAGUGACUGCCUGGUCUGCCCCGGGGACACGUGUCUUCAGGAGAGGGAAGUCAGCUGUUCCUUCCAAAAAUGCACCACCUGGCUGAGAGACCUUGUCCUCUGGCUUGAGCAUCUUAUCAGCAAAAUGAGAAGCCAGCCCGAUGGCGUCCAGGUACAUGUGCAUUUUGGGCCUCUCUCACUGUCAUUUUUACAUCUGGUUUCUCAAGGGAGGGAGGCCAGUCCCCAGCCUGGUCUCCUGAGAUAUCAGCUCCCACGGAGCACAGCUCAGAUACAGUAACCAAGAGCUCUGGAAAGCACAGUUCCCCCUGCCGGCGGAUGGGUGCCCUCCUUGUCCACACAACUGAACCAACCCAAGGCUCAACGCGAUUUCCUCCUGCAGCCGAGGGGAAAAUGCUACAUUGUUUGGACUAUAAAUGAGACCUUUAUAAAGCAACCCUGACAGAUUAAAAACAAACCAGAUUGGGAACCGAUCAACUUUAUAAACAGAUCAUUCAUUUUGGAAGGCGAUGCUUAGAAAGGACAUCUUUGGUGAAAUUAAAAUAGGCAACGUAGAACACACGGUUGACCGCUCCUCCCCUCGCAUUAUGCACAACCAAUAGUAGCCAGCGGGGUCCAUCCUUAUUUUUCCCAGACACUCCCCUCCGGGGCCCUCCUUGCCUGUCCUAUCUCCACUCUGAAGACGUCCCUCGGUCUGCAGCAUUUCCUCCGGGCCUGCAAUGGGCUUGAAUUCACCCUCAGAUCACCCCCGCUCCCGUACCGUCAUUCCUCUGGGACCCCGACCCUCUCUCUGGGAAGGUGCGGGACCAGGAGCCCCUGCCAUUCAUCAAGGGGGCUUGGGCAGAGUACAGCGCUCGCCCCAGGGUCGGCAGCAUAUAGAAACGCAUAGCAGAGAGGACUGCGUCACAGCGAGGAGAAGUUUAACGCUGAUGUCAUUCAGGAAGGAGGAAGGACUCCAAGACACCCUGAGUCACACUCCUCCUCCUCCUCUAGCAGCUGAACUCCUGGCCUUGAAGGCAAGAACUCCACUUGGCCGUGAUGGUUUCCCGGACACAGAUGCUUAUGAGCAAGGCCCCACCCACACCAGGAGGAAGGUAAGGGCUGUAUAGGUGGCAGGCACAUCAGUCAGGGAUGAAAACUUUGCAGUUAAUAUUACUUUGCUCCUGAGUUCUACUCUAGAACAGUCUUCUUUAUUUUCCCUUGAUAGAUGAAUUCCAGUUAUUUCAUUACUCAUCUGUCAGAGUUUGUAUUAGUUGUUUUCCCAUCUCUAGGACAAGAUACCCUUCAGCUCUAUUUGGCUCAUGGUUUUAGAGAGUUCAGUCCAUGGUUGGCUGGUUCCAAAGCUGACACACACAGC